AAAGAGAGAACCCAGGCCAUAAAUCGUCAUUCACCCUUCUCUUCUCACCUUUCCUCUGGUCCCUGGACACAUCAGUCUGUUUACGAGCCCCAAAACGCCUAGUUAGAGACCUCCGAUCAAAAAAAUUUCUUCACCAAAGUUGUUCGUCUAUGUCUCCUCUAUCUAGUCUCAAAAUUUCAGCUCCAUUGGAGUCUAUUUGAGUCCUGUACACCCCUCGAAGCGGAAGCUAUUCUGAAACGAGCCUGUUCCGGAUUUCUGCUUGAAUUCCCUCUCUUGCUUCACUCGAAUCCCUCACAUCUUACUUGAGACUGAUACAAACACUUGAUUGAGCGAACUUCUUGGCCUGCGGCUGGACUCGAUCCAACCAGCUCCCUCAGCUCUCUUUCCUGUUGAAAUCCUCAAGAGAAACUCACCUUUUUUAUUAGUCUUUGGAUCUUGUGAAGUGGUGGUUGCGACAAGGUUGCAUUGAGGCCAAGUGCUGCAAGAGAAAGCUCGAGUUCCAGGUAGGGGAUGCCUUUAACUCUAUCUAUGCUUUUCUUGCAUAAACUAUGAUUUAUA